ACGAACGCUGGCGGCGUGCUUAACACAUGCAAGUCGAACGGUAAGGCCCUUUCGGGGGUACACGAGUGGCGAACGGGUGAGUAACACGUGGGUAAUCUGCCCUGCACUUCGGGAUAAGCCUGGGAAACCGGGUCUAAUACCGGAUAUGAGCUCCUGCCGCAUGGGUGGGGGUUGGAAAGUUUUUUCGGUGCAGGAUGAGUCCGCGGCCUAUCAGCUUGUUGGUGGGGUAAUGGCCUACCAAGGCGACGACGGGUAGCCG
rnacentral:rRNA from 1 species